rnacentral:rRNA from 1 species
UACUGAUCCUCCUUCCUGAUGAACUGUAAUGCCAUUAAUUUAGUGUUGCAGGAAGUCUGGACUGUUACCUUGAAAAAUUAGUGUUUAAAGUAGGUUAACGCUUGAAUACAUUAGCAUGGAAUAAUGAAAUAGGACAUUAGAUUCUAUUUUGAGGAUUAAUGUAAUGGUUAAUAGGGAUAGUUGGGAGCAUUAGUAUUCAAUUAUCAGAGGUGAAAUUCUUGGAUUUAUUGAAAGACUAACUACUGCAAAAACAUUUGCACAAGGAUGUCUUCAUUAAUCAAGAAUGAAAGUUAGAGGAUCAAAGAUGAUCUGAUACCAUCGUAGUUUUAACCAUAAAUUAUGCCGACUAGGCACCUUAC